AGAGUUUGAUCCUGGCUCAGGAUGAACGCUAGCGGCAGGCCUAACACAUGCAAGUCGAGGGGCAUCACGAGGUAGCAAUACUUUGGUGGCGACCGGCGCACGGGUGCGUAACGCGUAUGUAACCUACCUAUAACAGGGGCAUAACACUGAGAAAUUGGUACUAAUUCCCCAUAAUAUUCGGAGAGGCAUCUCUCCGGGUUGAAAACUCCGGUGGUUAUAGAUGGACAUGCGUUGUAUUAGCUAGUUGGUGAGGUAACGGCUCACCAAGGCAACGAUACAUAGGGGGACUGAGAGGUUAACCCCCCACACUGGUACUGAGACACGGACCAGACUCCUACGGGAGGCAGCAGUGAGGAAUAUUGGUCAAUGGACGCAAGUCUGAACCAGCCAUGCCGCGUGCAGGAAGACGGCUCUAUGAGUUGUAAACUGCUUUUGUACGAGGGUAAACUCACCUACGUGUAGGUGACUGAAAGUAUCGUACGAAUAAGGAUCGGCUAACUCCGUGCCAGCAGCCGCGGUAAUACGGAGGAUUCAAGCGUUAUCCGGAUUUAUUGGGUUUAAAGGGUGCGUAGGCGGUUUGAUAAGUUAGAGGUGAAAUCCCGGGGCUUAACUCCGGAACUGCCUCUAAUACUGUUAGACUAGAGAGUAGUUGCGGUAGGCGGAAUGUAUGGUGUAGCGGUGAAAUGCUUAGAGAUCAUACAGAACACCGAUUGCGAAGGCAGCUUACCAAACUAUAUCUGACGUUGAGGCACGAAAGCGUGGGGAGCAAACAGGAUUAGAUACCCUGGUAGUCCACGCAGUAAACGAUGAUAACUCGUUGUCGGCGAUACACAGUCGGUGACUAAGCGAAAGCGAUAAGUUAUCCACCUGGGGAGUACGUUCGCAAGAAUGAAACUCAAAGGAAUUGACGGGGGCCCGCACAAGCGGAGGAACAUGUGGUUUAAUUCGAUGAUACGCGAGGAACCUUACCCGGGCUUGAAAGUUACUGACGAUUCUGGAAACAGGAUUUCCCUUUGGGGCAGGAAACUAGGUGCUGCAUGGUUGUCGUCAGCUCGUGCCGUGAGGUGUCGGGUUAAGUCCCAUAACGAGCGCAACCCCUACCGUUAGUUGCCAUCAGGUCAAGCUGGGCACUCUGGCGGGACUGCCGGUGUAAGCCGAGAGGAAGGUGGGGAUGACGUCAUGUGCAUGCUGUGCAGCAAUGACAGCGCAUAUGGGGUGCGUAUGGAGCGGCAACAGCCGGAUACGAUUUCACGGAAAACAUGCCCUUCCCUGUUUCAAUACGGCAAACGCAUGACAGAUCCGUCCCGCCCCCACGCUUACGAUCCGCUGAUCGGACGGGAAAAGGAAUUGCAGCAGAUUAUCCGCAUCCUGUCUCGCAGAACCAAGAACAAUC
rnacentral:rRNA from 1 species